UCCAUUGGUCUUUAGCAUCAGCUGCUUAACGGUUCCUGGUGGCUGGCUGGGGCCAGGAGCCCCAUUCGGAAACCGGGCUGGAUAGCUCCUCGCUGAGCCUGUGCAAACGGGGGAACGCCGGCCUCUUUCACUUUCCCCUUCCAGCCAGGUGCACGGUUAGUCAGAGUAACUCAGCCGGCAGCUCUAUUUCAGUCCAGCUCCCAGUGUCGGAGGCAGCUUUAAGCGAUCGAUGUAUUUAAGCUUCUAUAGGACCUGCUGCCAAAAGACUGUGACGCCGUGGAGGAAAUCAGCUCCCUGCAGCUGAGAGCGGAGAGCGAGUUCGGGGCGCGUCUGAGCCUAAAGUCGGAGCGCACUCAGAGCAGGCCCGGUUAACACAGCGUUCCAACUCAACCAUGUCCCUCUGUGGCCAGGAUGUGAUUCAGCGGUUUGGUAGGGACAGCGUCGAUCCGACACCUGCACAGUUUUUCAGGUUUGAGCGCCCAGAACCCAGCAAAGAUCGAUUUCUGAAUGAGCAGAAGUUCACCUCAUACACCUUGAAACUACUGGGAGAGAUAACAUCACGGAGGCGCACUUCAUUCCCAAACUGUUAGAACACGAUUCCCACGGUGGGCUAGCCGGCCGGACUUGGUUAAGUGAAUAAAACUCAGAGAAAGUGCAUGACUGUUUAACAAGGACACUCUCAACCUAUAAUAAACAGGGAACAUUAGUGAAUACGGUGAUGAUCAAUAA